rnacentral:lncRNA from 1 species
GGAAAAACUGGCUCUUUUUAAGGUCUUUGCUCCAUUCUCGUUACACGUCAACGAGUACAGAGGGGCAGUUCUAAUGGGUCAUUUUUGCCCGGGCCCAUAAAAAAAACAAGAAAUAAAAUCAUAAUAAUAAGUCCAAAAAAUUACAAGCCCAAAAGAAAAUUUAUUACAAGCCCAAAAUACAAAAACCCUAGCCCAAAAAUUACAAGCCCACAACCUAAACUAAUUCAGAAACCUAAGUUUCCCAUGUGCGCCACACCCCUUUCUUCCUCGUGCCCCCG